rnacentral:rRNA from 1 species
GAUCAUGGCUCAGGAUGAACGCUGGCGGCACGCUUAACACAUGCAAGUCGAGCGGAGAUGUGAGUUGGAAAGGCUACGGCCUGGAAGAAGCAGAUCUUAGCGGCGGACGGGUGAGGAACGCGUGGGUAACCUGCCCUAUACAGGGGGAUAACGUGUAGAAAUGCACGCUAAAACCGCAUAAGCUACUUUGGUCGCAUGACAAAGGUGGAAAAACUGAGGUGGUAUAGGAUGGGCCCGCGU